rnacentral:rRNA from 1 species
UGAUAUAACGAGGUUGCUCAGAGGUGAUUUUAUCUGACAUGGAGUGGCGAACGGUUGAGUAACACGUGGCUAACCUACCUCUUAGCAGGGGAUAACAUUUGGAAACCAGUGCUAAUACCGUAUAAUACCAACAACCGCAUGGUUGUUGGUUGAAAGAUGGUUCUGCUAUCACUAAUAGAUGGACCCGCGGUGCAUUAGCUAGUUGGUAAGGUAACGGCUUACCAAGGCAAUGAUGCAUAACCGAGUUGAGAGACUGAUCGGCCACAAUGGGACUGACACACGGCCCAUACUCCUACGGGAGGCAGCAGUAAGGAAUCUUCCACAAUGGGCGCAAGCCUGAUGGAGCAACGCCGCGUGUGUGAUGAAGGGUUUCGGCUCGUAAAACACUGUUAUAAGAAAAGAACGGCACUGAGAGUAACUGUUCAGUGUGUGACGGUAUCUUACCAGAAAGGAACGGCUAAAUACGUGCCACCACCCGCGUAAAUACGUAUGUUCCAAGCGUUAUCCGGAUUUAUUGGGCGUAAAGCGAGCGCAGACGGUUAUUUAAGUCUGAAGUGAAAGCCCUCAACUCAACUGAGGAAUGGCUUUGGAAACUGGAUGACUUGAGUGCAAUAAAAGAAAGUGGAACUCCAUGUGUAG